GGAUACCAUGAUGUUAAACUUUAAACUUGUUAAACUUGUAACACCUGGGAGAGCUGCCACACUCAUUUUAUGCAAAAAUCGGAGCCGUUCACUGCUGGGAGACUUCCCAUGUUCUCUAUGGAGCUACUUUUACCUCCUCCUCAUGCUCCACACUGGCCCCCGAUGGAUCGCUCACUCUGGGAUCAGGACACUUCAUUGUAAACGACAACAUACAGAUCAUUCCUUUUACCGGUGUGUCGGGAAAACUCUCUCUGUUCCGGAUGUGGGGGAGAGAACGCAGCAGCAAGGAAGUGGCAUCAAUGAACUGUACAGAGGGGGAUGUUGUGAAGUGGGAGAGAGACAACUGGGACACUCAGAUCUGUGCUCCACUCCAAGAUCCCAGCCUGAAUUGCAGUGAGCAUGCAACUUAUAAACCCUGAAUACUUUCACUUCAAACCUUUGCCGUU
rnacentral:lncRNA from 1 species